rnacentral:rRNA from 1 species
UACGUAGGGUGCGAGCGUUAAUCGGAAUUACUGGGCGUAAAGCGUGCGCAGGCGGUUCGCCAAGUCAGGUGUGAAAGCCCCGGGCUUGACCUGGGAAUUGCGCUUGAUACUAGCGGGCUUGAGUGCGGCAGAGGGGGUGGAAUUCCACGUGUAGCAGUGAAAUGCGUAGAGAUGUGGAGGAACACCGAUGGCGAAGGCAGCCCCCUGGGUCGACACUGACGCUCAUGCACGAAAGCGUGGGAGCAAACAGG